GUACAUGCCUACAACAUAGCAUUAUGCACCAAGUCCCAUUAGAACUUCGUAGUUAAGUGCGCUUAGGCUAGAUUAGUAUUGGGAUGGGUGACCACCAGGGAAGUCCUAGUGUUUUAUAUG
rnacentral:rRNA from 1 species